rnacentral:lncRNA from 1 species
GGAGGCGCAGCGGGCAUGCGCCGGCCGAGCCGCUGACUGAAACCCCAGGCGAGGUACCGAGGCAAAAAAAAAAAAAAAAAAAAAGGAAAAAUAAAUAAAAAUAAUCCUAAAGGAAUGAGAGAGAGAAGAACGGAACGCGGCGGAGGAAAGCGAAAAGGGGUUUAAAAAAGGGAUAAAGCGGCGCUGGAGGAGCAGCUGUGGCAUGUGGGCACCGCCGGCACCAACAGAUAUUUUGAUGGCAUGACAAAUCAGAAAGAAGAGGAUGUACUGUAUGACUAGACACCAGAUCAGUUCUGUUUGUGGAUUACAUUUUCAGUAAGAUGAAAAUGAAGCCAGUCCAGUUUGUUGCAGCAGUGAGCCAGAACUGGACUUUCCAUGGUCCUGGAGCGAGCGGUCAAGCGGCUGCUAAUUGGCUGGCUGGAUUUGGAAGGGGUCCCACACCGCCAACCUUGUUGGGAAUCAGGCAAAACGCGAACACCACAGGCAGGAGAAGGCUACUGGUUUUAGACGAGUUCAAAAUGGAGAAGAGAAUCAGCAGAAUGUUCUACAUCAUGACAUUCCUCUUUCUGACCUUGUGGGGUCCCUAUUUGGUAGCCUGUUACUGGAGAGUUUUUGCAAGAGGGCCUGUAGUACCAGGGGGAUUUCUAACGGCCGCUGUCUGGAUGAGUUUUGCCCAAGCUGGAAUCAAUCCUUUUGUCUGCAUUUUCUCCAACAGGGAGCUGAGGCGCUGUUUCAGCACAACCCUUCUUUACUGCAGAAAAUCCAGGUUACCAAGGGAACCUUACUGUGUUAUAUGA